UCUAAGCACAUGCCUUAAUACGGUGAAGCCGCGAAUAGCUCAUUACAACAGCCAUCGUGUACUAGAAUAUCGUUAUCCUACUCGGAUAACUGUGGCAAUUCUAGAGCUAAUACAUGCUUAAAAGCUCCGCCCGCAAGGAACGAGCGCAUUUAUUAGAAUAAAAACCAAUCGGGCUUCGGCCCGCUCUUUGGUGAAUCUGAAUAACUUUGCCAAUCGCACAGUCCUAGUACUGGCGAUGUAUCUUUCAAGUGUCUGCCUUAUCAACUUUCGAUGGUAGGUUAUACGCCUACCAUGGUAGUAACGGGUAACGGAGAAUAAGGGUUCGACUCCGGAGAGGGAGCCUGAGAAACGGCUACCACAUCCAAGGAAGGCAGCAGGCGCGCAAAUUACCCACUUCCAGAACGGAGAGGUAGUGACGAAAAAUAACGAGACAGUCCUCUUCGAGGUCUGUCAUCGGAAUGGGUACAAUUUAAA
rnacentral:rRNA from 1 species